GGCUCAUUAAAUCAGUUAUCGUCUAUUUGAUAGUACCUUACUACUUGGAUAACCGUGGUAAUUCUAGAGCUAAUACAUGCUGAAAACCCCGACUUCGGAAGGGAUGUAUUUAUUAGAUUAAAAACCAAUGCCCUUCUGGGCUCCCUGGUGAUUCAUGAUAACUUCUCGAAUCGCACGGCCUUGCGCCGGCGAUGGUUCAUUCAAAUUUCUGCCCUAUCAACUUUCGACGGCUGGGUCUUGGCCAGCCAUGGUGACAACGGGUAACGGAGGGUUAGGGCUCGACCCCGGAGAAGGAGCCUGAGAAACGGCUACUACAUCCAAGGAAGGCAGCAGGCGCGCAAAUUACCCAAUCCCGACACGGGGAGGUAGUGACAAUAAAUACUGAUACAGGGCUCUUUUGGGUCUUGUAAUUGGAAUGAGUACAAUUUAAUUCCCUUAACGAGGAACAAUUGGAGGGCAAGUCUGGUGCCAGCAGCCGCGGUAAUUCCAGCUCCAAUAGCGUAUAUUAAAGUUGUUGCAGUUAAAAAGCUCGUAGUUGAACCUUGGGCCUGGCUGGCCGGUCCGCCUCACCGCGUGCACUGGUCCGGCCGGGCCUUUCCCUCUGGGGAGCCGCAUGCCCUUCACUGGGCGUGCCGGGGAACCAGGACGUUUACUUUGAAAAAAUUAGAGUGUUCAAAGCAGGCUUAUGCUCGGAUACAUUAGCAUGGAAUAAUAGAAUAGGACGUGCGGUUCUAUUUUGUUGGUUUCUAGGACCGCCGUAAUGAUUAAUAGGGACAGUCGGGGGCAUCAGUAUUCAGUUGUCAGAGGUGAAAUUCUUGGAUUUACUGAAGACUAACUACUGCGAAAGCAUUUGCCAAGGAUGUUUUUCAUUAAUCAGGAACGAAAGUUAGGGGGAUCGAAGACGAUCAGAUACCGUCGUAGUCUUAACCAUAAACUAUGCCGACUAGGGAUCGGACGGUGUUAUUUUUUGACCCGUUCGGCACCUUACACGAAAGUACA
rnacentral:rRNA from 1 species